GGUAAUUCAUUUUUAGGUUAAUAAAUAUAAUAAAUGAUAAAUAUUAUUUUAUAUUAAAUUUUGAUGUUUUUAAAUAUAUUUUUACAGUUAGAAUUCAUUAGAAAAAAUAAGUUAACCAUAGGCUAAAUACUAAAUCCUGAUUAAUUUUUAACAUUUUUAACUCUCUUAUAUUAUACUAUUAUAGUUUUUGGAGAAAUAUAUUUGUGAUAGAAAAACUGAAAAUAUAAACAAUUCUUCUUAUAUUAUACUAUUAUAGUUUUUAAAAGAAUAUUUGUGAUGGAAAAAUUAAAAAUAUAAACAAUUCUCUAACGAUUCUCCAAUAGUAAUAAACCAAAGGAAUAUAUUUGAAAACAUCAAAACUUUUUGUAGGGAUAACAUAUGGAAGUUGAACUUUAUAGGAAUAUAUUUAUUUUUUUUUUUUAGAGAGAUAGGUAGCACGCUACCCGCUUCGCUUAUUUAAUUUAGAAAUAAACUUAGUAGGAAAUGUGAAUCAACUAGGAUUCGAACUUGAAUCUCGGGUACCAACCACCAAACCCUUUGUAGGAAUAUAUUUGUCAUUCACUAUAUUUGCAGGAAUCUGUAUGAAAGUAGCCCUUCAUGUUAUUAGUCCAAAUUCUUUCACAAGUACAAAAUCACGCUCAUACACAAAAUGAGUUUUGCCAUCCCACGAAAAUGUUAUGAUAAGGUGUCUAAGGAAAAGAAUCUUUUUAUUUUAGGGCUAAGUGUUCGUUUGUUUUACCAAAUAUAGAGAAAUAAUAAU
rnacentral:lncRNA from 1 species